UACGAAGGGGGCUAGCGUUGCUCGGAAUCACUGGGCGUAAAGGGUGCGUAGGCGGGUCUUUUAAGUCAGGGGUGAAAUCCUGGAGCUCAACUCCAGAACUGCCUUUGAUACUGAGGAUCUUGAGUUCGGGAGAGGUGAGUGGAACUGCGAGUGUAGAGGUGAAAUUCGUAGAUAUUCGCAAGAACACCAGUGGCGAAGGCGGCUCACUGGCCCGAUACUGACGCUGAGGCACGAAGCGUGGGGAGCAAACAGG
rnacentral:rRNA from 1 species